GACGAACGCUGGCGGCGUGCUUAACACAUGCAAGUCGAACGGAAAGGCCCUGCUUUUGUGGGGUGCUCGAGUGGCGAAGGGGUGAGUAACACGUGAGUAACCUGCCCUUGACUUUGGGAUAACUUCAGGAAACUGGGGCUAAUACCGGAUAGGAGCUCUUGCUGCAUGGUGGGGGUUGGAAAGUUUGGGCGGUUGGGGAUGGACUCGCGGCUUAUCAGUUUGUUGGUGGGGUAGUGGCUUACCAAGGCUUUGACGGGUGGCCGGCCUGAGAGGGUGACCGGCCACAUUGGGACUGAGAUGCGGCCCAGACUCCUACGGGAGGAAGGAGUGGGGAAUAUUGCACAAUGGGCCGAAGCCUGAUGCAGCAACGCCGCGUGCGGGAUGACGGCCUUCGGGUUGUAAACCGCUUUCGCCUGUGACGAAGCGUGAGUGGCGGUAAUGGGUAAAGAAGCACCGGCUAACUACGUG
rnacentral:rRNA from 1 species